GGCUACAGUCCCCUACUAGCUUCCCUCCCUCUCUGAAGACAGGGGAUUUGACUGGCCUCAGGUGCCACGUCCUACCCCGAUAGAAUAAAGGGAGCCGUGCAUUACUCCCUGCUCUGCGCGAGAAGCAGAGGACAGCUUCCCCCAUCUGGCAGGAACUAAAAGUCACCUCAGCGUCACACCUCACUGUCCCCUCUGCCAGAGGGAGCUGCCACUCCGUACACAGUAUCAGGGAGACGCCACUUAACCUCCACAUUGCAUGGAGCAGGAAGCUUCAAGUGGGAAAGGCCCUUAUGUGCGCCAGCUCCUGGGGACUCCAUCCCACGUGAGGGCCCAAUUGAGUUUGACAUCGUCUUCACCCGAGAGCACCCUGGCGGCCGCUUUGGUUUUGAUUACAGGCAGCCUGGCACCGGGUAGCCGUGGCCUGUUCACCUGAACUGCCGGCACAAGGCACAGAUGCUAAUU